rnacentral:rRNA from 1 species
GGGAUUGCCUCAGUAACGGCGAGUGAAGCGGCAUCAGCUCAAAUUUGAAAGCCCUCGGGCGUUGUAAUUUGCAGGGGAAGUGCUUGGGGCGGGUGCUGUCUACGUUCCUUGGAACAGGACGCCGCAGAGGGUGAGAGCCCCGUGCGAUGGCACCUCUAACCGUAUAAGCCUUCUCCGACGAGUCGAGUUGUUUGGGAAUGCAGCUCAAAGUGGGUGGUAAAUUCCAUCUAAAGCUAAAUACUGGCGAGAGACCGAUAGCGAACAAGUACAGUGAUGGAAAGAUGAAAAGCACUUUGAAAAGAGAGUGAAACAGCACGUGAAAUUGUUGAAAGGGAAGGGUAUGCGAUUAGCGGCCAGCAGGAGGUGGUCUCUCGUGAAAAGGCCGGGCACCGUCCUCGGACACUGUGCGCGGAGAUGGCGAGGGGCCGCCUGAGGUCUGCGACUCUAGGUUGCUGGCGUAAUGAU